rnacentral:lncRNA from 1 species
CCCCACUUCCUAACCCUUGACAUAGUGGGAUGGCUUCCAGAGCUCCAAGCAUCCCUUUCAUGCUAACCUGGCUUUUGCCAUCUUUGAUAGUUUUUACAGAAUCAUUGGGUGCCAUACCUGGGAGCUAUUCUCAGGGCCCUUCCUGGAGACAGCCCUACACUCCCACCAUUACCCUUCUCUGGGGACCCACAUCUCCCACAUCCUUGGGGUGGUGGUAGAGAUAGGGCACGUCUCUCUAUUCUCCUUAUAUUUCAGAAUCAAACACCUCAGAACUAACUUGGCUUGGAGCAUCUUGGGAAAGGCAACGAAUCAGAGUGGCCUCUUUCAAGGCUUAUUCUCCAAAAAGUCCAGGAGAUUCAAAGAAGAUGACCCUGAACUUGAAGUAUUUAGAGGGAUGGUAAGUGUUACCGGGGGUCGCUUUUUGCUGUUCAAACUUUCAUGACUUGGCAUGCAACCUGCACUAAGUCAGAAAUAACCAAUUAUUUGACAAAGUCAUGAAGGACUUGAACACAAGCCAUAGGCACCUCAAUGUGAAUCUCCACAUUUCUGUCAGCACGAACUCAAC